AACACGUGACUACUACCCUUGAGUGGGGGAAUAACCUCGGGAAACCGAGGCUUAAUACCGCAUAAUAUCGCAAGAUCAAAGGAGUAAUCCGCUUUUGGAGGGGGUCGCGGCUGAUUAGUUAGUUGGCGGGGUAAUGGCCCACCAAGAAGAUGAUCGGUAUCCGGCCUGAGAGGGCGCACGGACACACUGAACUGAAACACGGUCCAGACUCCUACGGGAGCAGCAGUGGGGAAUUUUGCGCAAUGGGGGAAACCCUGACGCAGCAACGCCGCGUGGAGGAUGAAGUACUUCGGUACGUAAACUCCUUUCGAUCGGGACGAUU
rnacentral:rRNA from 1 species